AUUGAACGCUGGCGGCAGGCCUAACACAUGCAAGUCGAGCGGAUGAUGGGAGCUUGCUCCUUGAUUCAGCGGCGGACGGGUGAGUAAUGCCUAGGAAUCUGCCUGGUAGUGUGGGACAACGUUUCGAAAGGAACGCUAAUACCGCAUACGUCCUACGGGAGAAAGCAGGGGACCUUCGGGCUUUGCGCUAUCAGAUGAUCCUAGGUCGGAUUUGCUUGUUGGUGAGGUAAUGGCUCACCAAGGCGACGAUCCGUAACUGGUCUGAGAGGAUGAUCAGUUACAGUGGAACUGGGAGACGGUCCAGACUCCUACGGGAGGCGGCAGUGGGGAAUAUUGGACAAUGGGCGAAAGCCUGAUCCAGCCAUGCCGCGUGUGUGAAGAAGGUCUUCGGAUUGUAAAGCACUUUAAGUUGGGAGGAAGGGUUGUAGAUUAAUACUCUGCAAUUUUGACGUUACCGGAAGAAUAAGCACCGGCUAACUCUGUGCCAGCCGCCGCGGUAA
rnacentral:rRNA from 1 species